UUUAAUGUGGCAGAACAAAUGCGAUAGACUUAAAAUUUAUAUAUAGGAAAUCCCUCUUUAAAA
rnacentral:tRNA from 1 species